UGCGCUGCUUGUGUGAGCCUUGGCUGUGCCAGCUAUGGGGCGGGGAGUGGGGGUGGGGGAGAGCGGGACAGGGAGACUGCGGCCCAGCCAGCAUGUUGACACGCCCUAGUGGCCUGGGCAGGAAUUUGUCCCCAGAGUUAACCACCACCCUCCCCGGCUUCUGUCCCCGAUCGGCUGCCGUCACCAACCGGGCCCUCGGGCCCUCCGCCCCCCUGGAGGUCAGGUGUGAGGCAGCAGCGGCCCCCUGGGGUCUAGCACCAGGGACCCCACGAUCAGCCCUUGCCACUCAUCCCCACGGGGCCCCUGAUUGCUCUCAGCACCUGCAGCUGCUCCCGGGUCACCACCGCUGGUUUGGCACCAGGCACAGACGCUGCCACCAUCAGAACUGUCCCAGCCGCCCAGCUACUGCAGGUGCACGUGCCCUCCACUUGCCCGCGGCCUCAAUCCGCAGCACGUAUGACGCUGGCCCCUCGUCCCGCCAGCCCAGGACCGCAGCUCGUCAACAGCACCCCUGUUCCUGGGCCACUGGCUUCCUGACCCAGGCUACUCUUGGGUGGAAUGUCUAGGAGAUGCACCGAUGCCACCAGUCACACACUGCGCUGAAUCCACAGGUACCGUUGCUGACUUCCAUCCUGCUUAGAUGGAAGUGUUGGCUCUUUUCUCUCAGGCUGACCCCUCUACCUGCGCUCUGGGUGCCGCACCCUCCUGCCUUCCCAAGGACUGCUCCCCUUUCGCCCACCAUCUCUGUUGAUUCCUUCUGUGCAUUUAGACAUGUGUACGCCUCUCCUGACUUUAACAACCCUCCGACCUCAGAGCCCCUCAUGUCCCACCACCCUCUCUCUUGGCCCCUUUGAUGCUGAGCUUCUUGAAUGAAUUUUCUAGACUUGCUCACUUUCGACUCCCUUUUAAAUACACUCCAAUAGGGCUACCUUCUUGGCUCUUGGUCAAAACUUGUGCUGGAAACCCCAACCCCUCUGUUCCCGAGUGCAGGUAAUUACCGAGGGGCUAGCCCAGGCUCUCUGCCCUUCACGUGCAAAAUACCUACCCCGGGUCA
rnacentral:lncRNA from 1 species